GCCUUAUCAUUCGUCUGCCUCUCGUUUCUAUGUCAGGUUGUCAGAGUUUUGAGUUCUUCUAAAUCACCGGCAUUUACGUUUCUUUCUGUGAUUUUGUUCCGUUUUCUGUCUAACAGAGCUCAGCUAUCUGAGAUACUCUGCAUUCUCGUCAGCUUUAUUCCACUGUGAGAUUCUGUUCUAUGGUCUAUAAGCUUGCAAGCAACUUAUGUUCUGUCCUUGCUUUAUUACUAGUCUUAUUAUAUCUAUUAUGUUACAUGUUCUUAUAGUAUCUUUGCCUCUUUCAGGCACCAUCGUUAUUUUUCAUAGUCAUACUACCAUUCUGGCAGGCAAAUCUUUACUCGCAAUACAUUGAAGAGAAAACCCA